rnacentral:lncRNA from 1 species
CGCACUCUCAGCCUUCGCCUCAACCAUCUGUCAGGGCCACUCCCAACCGAUCUUUCCCAACUCACUCAACUCAGAAAUCUUUAUCUUCAGGGGAACCAAUUUUCGGGCCCCAUUCCCUCUCAACUUCUCAGCAUUCACUCAUUAGUACGCUUGAAUCUUGGAGAGAACAUAUUCUCAGGUGAAAUACCAUCUGGGUUCAACAAUUUGACCCGUUUAAGAACCCUCUACCUACAAAGCAACAAUCUUUCUGGGUCAAUACCCGAGUUAGCUCUGCCAAAUCUUGUCCAAUUUAACGUUUCUUACAAUAGCUUAAAUGGGUCGGUUCCGAAAAGUCUUGAGGGAAAGCCUGUCAGUGCAUUUUCAGGGAACGCAUUAUUAUGCGGUAAGCCUCUUGCUAAUUGUCCUAAAAAUGAAACUCCACCUGCUUUUGCGGUGGAUAAUAAUGGAGCUGGAAUUUUUGUUUCCAAUGGAAGAAAGCAUAAGUUGUCUGGGGGAGCAAUUGCGGGCAUUGUUAUUGGAUCUGUUUUGGGAUUCUUGCUGUUAUUGCUUGUGAUUUUUGUGUUGUGUAGGAAAAGAAGUGGGCAAAAAGCCAGGUCUGUUGAUUUAGCCACCUUUAAGCAGGCUAAAGAUACUGAUGUUUCUGGGGAGAAACCAAUUGUUGAAGGCGGGGAGAGUCAUGGUAGUUUCAAUAAUGCAUAUUCGGUGGCUGCAGCCGCGGCUGCUGCAAUGACGGUGAGUGGGAAAGGGGAGAAUGGUAAUGGUGGUAGUGUCGGAGGAAAUGGGUCGAAGAAAUUAGUGUUUUUUGGUAAUUCUUCCAGGGUGUUUGAUUUAGAGGACUUGUUGAGAGCAUCUGCUGAGGUUUUAGGAAAAGGGACUUUUGGAACUGCUUAUAAGGCUGUUUUGGAGUUUGGAACCGUGGUGGCUGUGAAGAGAUUGCGGGAUGUGACUAUUUCUGAGAAUGAAUUCAGGGAGAAAAUUGAGGCUGUUGGCGCCAUGGAACAAGAAAAUCUGGUGCCUCUCAGGGCUUACUAUUAUAGCCGAGAGGAAAAGCUUCUUGUAUAUGAUUAUAUGCCAACGGGAAGCUUGUCUGCACUUCUACAUGGUAAGUGUUAGUCGAAUUUUUCUUCAUGUUACUAUUAAUUUUGAUUAUAUUAUGCACUGCAAAUUUACUUUUUCAAGUUGUUGUCUUGGAUUCAUGAAUUGCUGUGAUUUCUGCAAUAUCUGAUUUCUGUUUGUGGACCAUAAGUUACUUUAUUUAUCUUGUUUUUAGCUGUCGUUUUUUAUGAGAUAGAUUAACGUAAGAAAGCUGCAAGUAGGCGGUCGAUCAUAGGCUCAUAGACAAGGAUUUAAUUUGAUUUGUUAGGAAACUUUGUGUGUCGGCCAGGUUCAUUUUACGGAAGUGAUUGUCUUAUUUGCCAUCUUUAACUGAGCUUGUUCCAACAAACACAUUGUGAUGGAUUAUCUUUUCUGAUUGUUUAAUUGGUCUAUAAUACAAUGAUGAAAACUAAGACCACUUGUUCUUUUGUCUAUGAGUAAGGUUUUGUGGGAGUAAUUGUAAUUAAAUUAUCUUUAGCCAUUUCUCUUUUGCUUCUGUUUCGUCAAUAAGCUUAAUUUAUGGCUCUUUUUGCCCACAAUUUAUGUGGUUAUUGUGUGAUCAUCUAGUUGUGUACUAAUUACUUGUUUGAAAAAACUGCAACUUCAAAUUCCUUGUCAAAAUAUCUUAAAUUUUAAACAUGCUGCUGUCCUAUUUUGUUUCUUUUAAUGUUUCCAACAGAACACCUAUAUUUGGAAACAGAAAGUAACUGUAGUUCGUUGGUUUAAUCUUAUUCUCUUAAUUGCUUUGUAUUCUCCUGCUCAGGAAACAAAGGAGCUGGUAGGACUCCAUUGAAUUGGGAAGUCAGGUCUGGUAUUGCUCUUGGAGCUGCGCGUGGCUUAGAAUAUCUGCAUUCUCAAGGUCCUGAUGUCUCCCAUGGAAAUAUCAAGUCGUCCAAUAUCCUGCUCACCAAAUCUUACGAGGCACGAGUCUCAGAUUUUGGCCUAGCUCACCUUGUUGGACCCCCAUCCUCUCCCACCCGAGUUGCUGGCUACCGCGCACCAGAGGUGACUGAUCCUCGAAAAGUUUCACAAAAAGCAGAUGUCUACAGUUUUGGUGUAUUGCUUUUGGAGCUUCUUACAGGGAAGGCACCUACUCAUGCCCUCCUGAAUGAAGAAGGGGUCGACCUACCAAGAUGGGUUCAGUCAAUAGUACGAGAGGAGUGGACAUCUGAAGUGUUUGAUCUUGAGCUCCUCAGGUAUCAGAAUCUUGAGGAAGAAAUGGUGCAGCUCUUGCAGCUUGCAAUAGAUUGUGCAGCCCAAUAUCCUGACAACCGACCUUCAAUGUCUGAGGUCGCAAAUCGGAUUCAGGAGCUCCGUCGAUCAAGCGUGCGAGAUUAUCUGGAACAGUCUGAUCAAGUCCAUGAAGCCGACUAAAAGGUCGACUGGCCAUUCAGGUGUGCUGCCACCAUUGUACUAAAGAGGAACCCAAAAUGAUUCAACCUACUGCCCAUUUUAGAGUCUUGUCUGUUAUUGUUGUUUGUUAAUUGAGGCCUCGUUUUAUUUUAUUGAAAUUUAACAGUACACGUUGCUUUUCUUAAAAAAAAAAAAAAAUUUAAUUCCCCUUGUAGCAGCCUUGUCUUUUUUCCUCUCUGGGGCCUAUCUGUUCCAUUGUUCUCGUUGUAUGGGUAAUGGUUGCUGUAAUUAUGACUUCACCUUUUCACUUUACCUUUUUCUUUUUCAAACAUCUUUGUUUCCUGAACUUGAGAUUGAAACCCUUUUUACCGUCUUUUGGCGGUGUGUGGUUUGGUUCUUUUACACUUUUUUCCCUGGUAAUUAAUUCUCUGAUCCUCCUCUAAUUCUGUUGAUUAGGGGAAGAGCUAAUAAUCCUGUUAAAGAACUUGCCUUGAUAAAGAUACCCUCCGCUGUUUGUUGAUCUCUUUUGCCUUUAUCCAAGCCACAGUUACAGUCACUAAUAACCUAUCUUUCUUGGAAGUUGGUCAUCACUUUUAGCUGUACCUCCGGGGUGUUUGGUUCCAUACUUUUAAAAAAGUGUGAUUUUGGUGGUUAUGUUAUUAAAGUGAAGGCAGGAUAGCAUAUUGGUGGCUGCUGGAAGGUUCAUUCCAUGUGGUUGUGAAUCUGUCGUCGGCAAAUGAUCUUUAUAGUAGGAGUGGUUGAUAAUUAAUAGGUGGAAUUUAACCAAGUGAAGACUAUAAAUCUCAUGAUGUUCACUGGCUAACAAGAGGAGGAGGAGCGGUGGCUGGUGAAUAUUUUUGGCUUUCUCUGAUUAACUAGGAAGGAGCUACAAAAAAACCCCCCAAACAAGCAGCAAUUGCAAACCUAACUUAAUUGAUUAUGGUGCAACCAGUGAGUCACCCUUGGCUGGAAAGGAUUUUCAAAGUUUCCUCUUGUGACCAUGAGAGCUAGUGAAAAGUUUGUAUAGUUGAUGAAAAAACAAAGGGUCUUUGCAUGGUGGUCCAGCAAGAAACCGGUGAUGUGAAAUGGUGGGUAAGCAGAUCGUUUAAUGUCAUGGUGGUCCUUUCAUGUAAUGUUAGAAACUGGCUAGCAUCCUAAGCUUGAGAGAUUCAAAAUCUUGAGAGACUUGUUGUACAUGUCAAAAAGGGAGCUAAAAAACAAAAGUUCCAUGACUUUAAUCUUCUAACCAAAUAUGGAGAUGGUGAGAUGGUUUUCAUUUUGUCUCGUGGCAUUGAGCUGGCCUACUAUCUUUGUCCCAAAUAUAUAAUUCUGAGAUUUGUUUUAUAGGAAAGAUGGUGGUUUCCACCAUGUGAUGUGAUGCCAGGCCAGCAAUUAUGUGCAAGAGCAAGACCGACCAUUCUUCACUGUUCACUACUGAUUGCGCCUUGCCGCCAGGUAACUUGAUGCUGCUAUAGGCGUUAUGAUAAGUUUGUGUAACUUUCCACCUUUAUAGAACCAUGAAUCCCGUACUGCAGAUCCACUCGGCUGGCAGUGGCAAUAGCAUACGAGAAAAGGAGGUCAUGAGCUUCAAGCUUCGUGCCACCUUACUACAGCCAGUCUUUCUAGCUUGUAGUUCACUACAGAAAGAAAGUACUAAAAUUUUAAUGCAGAAAAUGAUUAGAAAGGGAGAUAAUCCAACAGGCGGGUGAUUACUGAUUUACAAAUAAUCCAACUUUGAUCGGAUUUAGCUUCUGCAUUUGCAAGAAAGUCAGCCACACUUAUUUCCUUCCCUCUUAAAGAAAGUGUGUUGGUGGAUUAGCACAUCCAUUCCUUGGUCAGAAAUCUUGCAAUCCUCCACAUCCCUUUGUGAGUUGAUAGAUGUUACUAAGGUUCAUAAAAAUGACAGAGACUCGAGAUUAGAGUCCUACAUGAACGAACACCUUCAGUUCAAGUUUGAGGUAAUCUCCAGAGUCUAUCAAGCCAAGAAAAACAGAGGAAAAACAAAAGAAACAAAGAUUUCUUUUCGAGCAAGGAAAAAUAUGAUGAAUGCAGCAUAAUUUGCCAACAUAUUCAUGCAGUCUCUUUAAUUUUCCGGGCACCCCAACAAGAAAGAGAACAAAGAAAGACAGAAAUGAAUGAAUGGUUGUCAAUCAUCAGAACGAACAAGCAAUUUCUUUAAGAUUCACUAGAAUAAUUAUUGUCAUCAAUAUCUCAUCUAAGCUUUGCUUCAAGACACAAUUUAGUGGAGUUUUUCUUUGUCGUUGAAUCAAAGGAAGAUCAAAUAACUGUAGAAUUAGUGAAAAGGGAUAAUUAAACUAUUCUCAAUACCACCUAAUCCACACACACAAAGGAUCCCAAAUUGGGAAUCUUUAAGCCAAUCUGAGUCGGUCAACAGCAUCAUCAAAUGAGAAGGAGCCAUCUAAGAAUCUUCCAUGCAUUCUUUAGUAGGGGGAGGGGGCUCUCUCGUACCAACUCUCAGAACUUAAAAAGGGGUUACAAUUUCUUUGGAUACUAGUUCUGAGAAGUGUGAGCAUACAAAUGACUUGAAUUUUCCUUUCUUUCCUGUUCAAAAUGAAGAACCAGGAUCUUUAGCAGGAAUUUUAGAGAUUACAAUCAAAUCUAAUUUGGUGAACAAAACAGGUCACAAUCAUAAUAGUGUCCAAUUUCACAUCAUCCUGUAACUUAUAACCACCAAAAAUCCAAAGGUCUUUCAAAAUUUGAAAUGAUGUCACAGUUGGGAACAAUGAAUACAAACAAAAUCCCACCUCACAACGUCUUUAAAAAUUUUUGAAAUAAGUAUUUUCAUAGCCAUUCUAAUUCGAUGACUUUUAAAUAGGUUUUGUUACCACGGCAUUUGUUAGGAACCGGAAUUCAUGCAUACAUAUUUUUUUUUCCCCAGUAGUAAUUUUUCUAAGCUAUGAAAGGCAAAACCGUACUUGAAUGGCCUAACUCUAUCAGUGUUUGUGGUUGGUUCCUUUCCACGCAAAAAUAAAACGAUAAAAAGAACACCUUCUUAAUCGUUUUGGAGAGGGGAAAAAAAAAUCAAAUAUGUGUCUUUCUUUUUUUGUCAGAUGAAGCUGUUUUUCUAUCCAAAUUUGAAGGCUACCUUAUCCACAUUCAAAACUUCAGCUAUAAGACUGGUAUUUGAUAUCAAAGUUAAAGGUGUAAAAAGCACGAUCCCUCCUGUUUCCCCUUUAGUCUUGGUUUUUUUUUUGUAAAAAAAAAUGUCCGAUACUUGAUCGCUGUGCAACCAGAAAAGUUGUUCUCUCAUGGACCCCCCACACCUGUCCAUUGUACAAGCCCCAAAGAAAUUUGGGCCCUAAUUCUUUUCAAAAAAUUAAAACGCAGUUUUAAUUUUUUGGGCUCUUAUGUAAAAACCCAUAAGCACCACCAGAAAAAUAAAUAAUAGUAACAAAAAAGGCAAGGCAAUCUGGCCAUGAAACACUCUUUUCUUUUUUCUUUUCUUUUUUUUUCAUUUUCUUCUUGUUGUUCCCUCCGUCUGGAUUCCAAAUUUUUGUGGUUCAGUAUCUGAAAAUCCAAAGAGAAUUGUUUCAUUGCUGUAGAGAAAUCUGUACUUAAUUAGAAUUUUCAAAGCUAAGACCAUGAAUUCACGCAGGCCCAGCUAGCUUCAAAGAAAAUCAGAAACACAAAUUGGCUUCCUCAAAACCAAAUAAUAAACCAAAUUCGACUGUAAAACUGAAAACCCCCCAACACAUAAGGGAGGGCUGUUGCCUUUCUACGUAAAAGCAAAAGUCCUGCGCAAAUUAUAAGCCUUUAAGCUGCCUCUCUAUAUCUGCAAUCUGGAAGUAAAGCCACAGCAGGUUAGCAUGAAUUCAAGCAAGCAAAAAGGCAUGGAACCGCUAGAGAUUUGCAAGACCUUUAGGAAAAGACCAUACAUUUACAAGGGUAUACAAACUGGGAGAUACUUUGCCUCCACAAUGGGUUUUGUACUGCCAAAAUCGCUCAUCUUGUCAUGCAUUGCGAUUUGUCGACUGAUCGUCUUUCCAGCCUUUAGUAAGCAAGUCAUAAUUGAUCGAUGCGAGCUGGGACAGAUUCUGGACGGCAAGAUCAAGUUAAAAGAUGAGCUAAAAUGCGUAUUAUCCAACGGUAACAUAAAUUUAGAUUCUCAAUUACAACGUAUUAUCCAGUGUACAAAAUCAAUAAGACGCAAGGCCAGAACCCCCAAAUAUAUGACUAACUCCAAACUCAAUGGCUUUACUGCAUGGAUAAUUGCAGUCACUAUGAAGAACCUUAAAAGAGGAGCAGAUAAAAUCGCUAAUGAGCACGCAUCUACAAUGUUCUUCAACAAAUAACAGGAUCUUUUAAACAGUUUCAAGGCAUGUAUAGCAAAUAGAUAUCCAACCAAAACUAUCCCAGGUUUACCUUGAAUGAGAAAUUGCUAAACGAGUAGUUGAUGGAAGAGUUGGAUUCAAAUUCUGUAAGCCCGCCGCAUUCAUCUCCCUACAGUUCAUUGGUUCACAAAGAAAAAUGUUAAAACCAAAUCCAAAAAACUUGUACAAUUUUCCAAGUUAAACGAGUAAACCAGAAUACCAGCUCAUCAUGGCGAUUGCUUGGGCAACUACUACUAUCACUCAUGCUACCAUUGUCACUGGAAUCUUCAAAUUCACUGGCUGCAUAGACAUGCUCAUCUGAAGGGUUCCAUGAAUAACGACUGGUAAAGUAACUUGUAUCAAUUGCAUUCUCCGAAGCAGGAACAAAAGCAGCCUGGGCAAAGCAUAUGACCGAAAUGAGAACAUUUAACAGAAAUACUCGUGGAAAUAACUUUUUAAGUUGUCACCUAUAAUGUAACAAGUAGGACAUCCAGAUUGAAACAGAAACAACAGAAAAAGAAGCCGCACCUUUUGUCUAGCUAGCGUGUCCCAGUUAAUAUCUCUAAAAAAUGGAUGUUGCUUCACCUGUAUGUCAAGUUAACUUGGAAUGAUGACCAAAUUGUGAAACAAACAUUAAGAUCACAAAGAGAGGAAGUAGGUGAUAUUACCUCUGAUGCUCCUCUUGCUCCAAGUCUUUGAUUAGGAUCUUCUGUCAUCAACCUAUAAGUAAAAAAAGCAGCAGUUUGCAGGUCAAAUAAUUCUUAACUGCAAUACAUACUCAAAUUAAAGAAGCAAAAUGUCUGCUGCAUGUCACAUCAUUAGAAGAAUAAAAGCACACCAAAAGGAAAGAGAAAGAGAGAGGACACUAGCUUAAUAGUAGAUUAACUCAUAUAAGAUCGCUUAGACUUUCAAAACAAAUAAAUAAGAGCACAGGAAUAUCAAGGAAUUAGCUCUAAUACAUACAAGUAGACAUGAAAGUAAAAAUAGUAAGAGUUUUUCUUACUGAUCAAUCAGAUCCAGUGCCUCAGGACUCAUCUCUUCAGGGACCCGUGGCCAAGGUAUCUUACGGUUCAGAAUAUUGUCAAAAAUUUUCUACAAAAAAGCAAAAGAAAUCAGAGAUUAUUCUUCUGAACAUACUAGAUAAAGAAAUGAAGCUUUAUUUAUUGAUGUGUUUAACUCCUCCAACUACUUUCAAUUAAUAAAGCUAUUCAACAAGACGAGCAGUUCUCAUUGGCUUCUACACUUUUUCCCAAGACACUUAAAGAAAAGUUCCAAAGUUUUCCUUUGUUCCAUUCGCUCAAAAGGAUUCAAGGGAGAUAGUGCAGCAAGAAAAUAGGAAUUAAGUUCUGCAUUUAAAGCUUUCAAAAGAUUAAAUCUAUAUCUAGAAAUACCCAUGGGGCUGCUUCUUAGAGUCGACCUUUUUAGCUUAAAAUCUACUAAACGUACAAGUCACAAGUGAAGAAGAAAACCACAAAACAGCUCUUAGCUAAAAAAAUUGUGAUUAGUUGAUCUUAGGUAAUCCAGAAAAGGAUCACAAAUGAUUCUCGUAGAAACAUGAAUAGAUUAACAUUGGUACGCACCUCUGGAUAAAUUUCAUUUUCCGCUAAAGUAUAAAAGAGAUUCAUCUCAAAAGAGUAUGAUUAUGUGUGUCCACACAUGGACCCUCUAAAUGGCAACUCUAAUUCCUGAAUUACUCGACAUAAUUGUAGAUUCUUGUUUAGGACUUGACACGAAAGAAAUAACUCGUUGAACAAUAAAAACAUAACAACAUUUGUGAAUACAGACAUACCAAAUCAGCAUAAACAAGCAUGCACUCAUACAAGCACAAAAUGUGCUGAGAAUGCGAGAGAGGACAGAAAAAAGUUAGACAAAAUGUCCAACAAAAUAGAAAAAAAACCCCCAAAUUAAACUGAACUUUUGCAUAACCUUCACAAGGAUACCUCUUCAAGAUAUAAAAAAGAACAGUUAUCAUUUCAAGAGAUAAGGUAUUAAACAAGAACUCCUGUGGAAGAUGAAAACCUGAGGAUGCUCCGCGUUGAAAGGUGGGAUACCAACAAUUAGUUCGAACAAUAUAACCCCCACUGACCACCAAUCCGCAGUAAAUCCUGAGAAAAUCAUAUGAUGGCAUAUCGCAAUCAGAGAGAAACAUGCUUCUCAAGUAAACCAACAGACGCAACAUAAAACUCUCAGCCCCAUGAACCUCAAUCCAUGGUGGUGAUUGAAGAGAAAAGCAAAACACCAAAUUGAAAUAAAGCACGUCUGCAACCUUUAGCCUACUUUGAAAAAAAAUUCUUGUUUUUCACCAAAUAGGUUUCCAAAAUGCACUCAAGAUUCUUCCCAGUACAAACAAAUUACAAACGGGAAAAGCAGUUUGACAAAGAUUUUUGGCAUCCUGAACAUCUGAAGUGAAAACAUUGUGUAAUUGAUGAGUAGAAAGUAUGCCCCUUUGGAUGAUCCUAUGUCAAUUGCAACAGACAACCAGAUGCAUUUAGCACAUUCAUGCAGAUACACAAACAGAUGUCCAUAGGUGUGUAAGAGCUUGGACAACUUAAAACAUAUAGAGAGAAACGGAUGUUAAAUGGAAACACCAGCAACAAGAAGACCAGAAGAGGAAAGAGACUCCAUUUGUUAUAGCACAAGCAGAACAGAAUGGGCAGACUCACUUUUGCAUUUGCAUAUGUAUUAUGAUGCACUAGCAAGAAUGACCUGGUUUAGUCAAAUUAGGCAUGGUACUAGCAAGUUCGGGAAUUAAGCAAGGAAAAAUUUUCUGAAUAUAUGAAAAGAGAUACCCACAGCUUACAUACCAUGCCCCAUUCCCAGAAGGAUCUCUGGGGCCAAAUAGUCAGGCGUACCAACAGCAGAACGUUUCUUACGCCUAUCUUGACUGUCAGAUGCAGAUAUGUGGGAAUCAUCCUCCUCCAUCAGGGAUGUUCCACUGACUGCUGGACCAGAUAAAUCAUCAGUACUGUUGAUGAGACCAACUUUAGAGAGCCCAAAAUCUGUCAACUGUUAAUUAAAGAAUCCAUCAGAUUUCCUCACUAACAUGAAUAUGAAAUACAAGCUAGCAAAACAUCUUGCUUUGGACAUUCAACCCUCCACCACUUGCCAGACCCCCAAUGACAUGAUAUAACAAAAAAACCUAAGCAAAAUCAAGCAGACAUUUCAAAGUAUCGUGCCAAAAAAAGCCUAAGCAAAAUCAAGCAGACAUCAAAAAACAUGUUCGGGACCUGGAGCCUUCACAGUUCCCCAAAAAAUCUACAGAUUUCUUAAACAAAACCACCACUUAAACCUCAGUUGUGUAUAAAUCAGCGGGAAAGACUCAAGAUAACAGCAUGUGACAAAGUUGAUAACCAAGCUGUACCAAGUUAGACAAGAGUACCACACAACUUGAGCAUACCUCUUUUGUUUAAUUUAAGGUCAACCAUCACUCUGUUUGGCAAUUGGAUAAAUUAGACAUUUUAAAUAAGAGUAAAUUUCAAGCAUACAGCUUAACAAACUUAUUCCAACUUUUAAAAAAAAUAAUAAUAUAAACCAUGUUAACAAGAAAAACUUGAACAAUAACAUUUACCUUUAUAUGACCAUCAUGCGCAAUUAACAGAUUAUCAGGCUUCAAAUCCCGAUGAACAAUGCGCAUGGAAUGCAAGUAUUCCAAAGCAAGAACCUGGCCACAUAGUAAGUUCAGUUGUCUGACUGGUGUUCAUGCAAUUUAAAUUUAUUCAAGUGGAAGCACUUACAACUUCAGCAAUGUAUACAUGAGCUACAUCUUCAUCCAAGCACCCCAGAUUUCUUAAUAAUGAAUAAAGAUCCCCACCAUUCAAGUACUCCAUCACAAGGUACAAGUUUUCCCGACAAGUAAACGAGUAAAAAAAGCGAACCUAACAAAGUAAAAAUCUUCAAAUAAGAAUCAUAAAAGAAUUUUCAACCUAUGGUAAAUGAUACGCUAGAUAGACCUGCUCACCACAAAAGGAUUGCGAACAGUAAUUAAAAUAUCGCGUUCUGCUAAAAUACUCUCAACAGCAUUCUUGCGUAUCAUAUCUGCCUUCUUAAGAACCUGGAAAAGAUAUCAGCCAGUUAAUCAACAAGCAGACCCACAAGCUGGAAAUGAGCAAAUAGAGGGAAGUUUGAGCUACCUUUAUCGCAAACAGGUCCCCUGUUGUUCUCUUUUUGGCCAGAAAAACACGGCCAAAUGCCCCCCGACUUAUUGGUUUAAUAAUCUCAAAGUCAUCUAUAGAGGUCCGAUCCCUACUGGAAUGUAUUGGGCUUGUUCUCAAGCUACGUACAACAUCAUCUUCCAGAGGAACAUCUUCAUCUAUGACAGUGCUCGAUAUGUCAACUUUGUCAUCAUCAACUAGCUCACAAAGUUGCAAAUAUUUUUCCCUAAACAAGUAACAUCCAUCAAAGGUCAACAAUUAAACCUUAGAAGUACGGAUUUAGCACAUUUCAGCCAAAAAAAAAAAAGGAAAGAGGGCUUCCAUUUUGCUUUUCAGAUCCGGUGUUCUUACUUGAAACCUUUGAGGUAUGGAUCGACCAUAUUUCAGAAAAAACAGAAUAAAUGGUUUGCGAUUUUGCUACUGUGGCAUAGUCUUCCCACUUAGUCCCUACCUCCCUCCCUCCCUCCAUCACUCCCUUCCUUCUUUGGAUAUAUUAUUGGUUGGAAAAAAUCAUGUGGGAUUGAUAUAGGAACUCUCAAGGGUGAGUAGUUCUAACGUGGACAACAUUACCAUCAUCCCUGCACGAAAAUUUAGAAAAGAAACCCACCUAAUGAGCUUCUCUAUACGUGCUCCAAAAGUCUCAACGGUAAGAGCGUCCAGCUUUCUACGAUCAAUGACAACCCUCAAGUCUUCAAGGCAAGUGAGCAAAUAUGGCAAAGAGCGUUCAUCAUCUAGGGGAGUGUUUGCAACGCAUCGAGCAAUAUCAGCAAGUUCAUUCAUCUGCAUUAUCAAGUUAGGGAAGUCUUAGUUUUGGUAUCCAUACAAGCUAGCAUUCCACCUCGAGAAGUCUACAGAUUUACAUGGCAUAAUUUCAAAUUGAUCAUCCAUUUUUCACUCCUCUGCUUAUUUAGUGCUUUAACAAUACACAUGGGCUUAGCUGCUAAUAUCUUGUUUUGUUACACACUACAAAGAACCAAAAAGGUGAGUCCCAAUCCAACUGUCCAUUCUUUUAGCAGCAAGUUAUCAUUCUAUUUUAACAAAUAACUUUUCCAAAAUAUCCAGGAAGACAUCCAAGAUAAUCUCCUGGAUAAAUAACUUUUUACGUUAACAGUAUUUCAAUUUGCAUAACUAGUUAGGUUCAACUAACUGAUAUACUGUCACAGACAUUAGCUGCUUCAUAGCUGGAUAAAAUGGACAUUUUCAUAGGAGACAGGUACUCCCCUCUUUUCCUUUUCCCUCGAUCUGUUUUCUAUUAGGUGGGCAACAGUGACCAGCAUCAUUACCUACCAACAUUAUGGAAUGAUUAUGCAACUCCUGAGGAAAAAUUAUAUGCCAUGCCAUUGAUGCACAAAUAAUGACUUUAUCUAUAAACUAAAAGUAAAGUGGAAAACAGUAAUAAAAGGAAUCAGCCCAGCAAUAAAAGCUGAAAGUCUCUUGAUAGAAGAAGAAACUACCAAACCAUUAAACAAUAUUGCAUUUUCUCUAGUUGCGUUUCUGUAACAUAACAGACAAAGCAUUAUGUCUCAUCCUUUACAGUAUGCAAACUGGUUGGCCAUAUAAAACUCAUUAUAGGCAGUCCAUGUCCACAUAAUAUUCUAACAAGAUAAGCUAUGACCCUAAAAUGGCAGUCAGAUGGACUGAAUAAUGCAUGCAUAAAAAUGUUCAUUCUGGAAACACUUUGCUUCUGAACUUUGUGACGGCAUAUGAUUCAUAAAUUGAAAUCGAACCCAAGGUAUCAUCUACAAUGGCAAUUUCCAACACCACCGUGUUAUCAGUUCAUUAAAUAAGUUGCAGACAGUCUAAAUUGGAGAAUUUGAGAAGCUCUGGUUGCUUUCUGUUCGAUAACCUUUUCUUUUUCUAACUUAGAGAGUUGAGAGUGGCAUGUGCGGGAUUGCACUUACUUACGAUCCAAAGAGCAAGAAACAAACACAUUUUUAGUAAGGUCACUUGAACACAAAAACAUAGAAAAGCUGACCAAACUACAUGGUGACUACAUUGAUUUACUAUCUUUAUUCAAAACUUACUUGUAUCAUGCACUCUUUAUUCAAAAUUUACAUCUUGAAAAAUUACCGAUGUACAGGUAUAGACAUGUACUCCUGUUUUUAAAUUUGACUUAAGAAAGCAGAUGAGAAAAACCACAGAAGUUCGAUAUUGAGUUAGAGAUUGUCAAGUCAUGCAACAAGUGGAACUACCUACAGCAGAAGAUUAAGGAACCAAAAGACAAAUUCAAGGACAAUGAGUUGUUUUCAAAUGAAACCAACCUGGGGAAUAUCAUCAUGUUCGGAGUAAGCACCUUUUCCUCCCAAUAACAAGUCAAUCUGGCUGGUCCGUGGCGUCAUCAAUGGGGACCUAGGUGUCAUGCUGCCUGCUGAUGAUGUUGCCAUUCCUUGAUCAGAUUUGGGACCAAAACGAGUUCUACAUGACAUUGAUGGUAAACCUUUCAGAUCUUCCAUGAAAGCAGAAUUAUCUACUUCUGGAAAACAGUCGAGCAUGUCCUCUGAGCCUCUUCGAGACCAAUCACUCAGUUUUGGAGACACCAUAUCAGACUCUUCGGUUACACUUGAGUUUGAUACCUUUGCAGCCACACCAUCAGGACUCCCUACAGUAUGUUGAAAAUCUUUAUGAGAAAAUGAUUCCAUUAGCUUCUCAAGAGUUUCGGAUAUCCUAAGCAGGCGCUCAUUGACACUUAGACCCUUUUGAUCACAACGAUCAGCAAUUGCACAAAUCCUAGAGUGUUCUUCCACAUGUAAAGUAGGAACCUCUUCUUCACAAAUGCGACAAAUUAUUGAACUCUCAUCAGAUACACUUGGUUGGUCUCCCCAGUAACCCCAGGAAACUUUAUGCUGGUGCUUAAUUGGAAGGGAAGAAUGUCCCUGAGUAUCUCUGGCCGAAGAUACUUCAGGAAGCUUAGCAGUAGCUAGGUCGCCAUCCUGAAGUACCCUUCUGUUGUUUAAUAUCUUGGUAGCUUCAACAUUACUAUCAUCCUGCUCCUUCAAUGAAACAGCUUCUUUUGGGCUUUUUGUCACAGGGGAAGGAAAUUUCUUCCAAGAAGCCAUCCGGUCCCUGCUAGGAGAGUCCAAGUUCUUUGCAGCAUCAGUAGGCGAUAACAGCAAAUUUCCCGGUUUCACACCAUGGUCUUUCUUCCAUUCCAAACCACGCUGCUCUUGACUGUAAGAUUUCCGUGUGGUAGAGGUCUUUGAUGCCUUUGAAGCACUAGAAACCUUUCCACCCAUUCCAGUGGCAGAAGGAAUGCGAUUGUCCACAGGUUGAAGCGAUUGACGAAGCUGGAAGGUGUUUUCGUCCUCAGCAAACCCACUUUCCUUGUGAAACUGCAACAAUCUAGUACACCUAGUGAGGAUAAAAAGCAUGCGUGUAUGAAGCUGCUUCAGCACACCCAUGGGAAGCUCCUGACGCCUAUCAUCCAACUCUUGCACAAUGCCUUCACACUGAAGCCAGAAUUCCCCUGCUGGUGUCAUAGCACAACUCCGAGCCAACACUAAUAAGUCCUCAAUGGUUUCUUGCCAUUCAGGAUGGUUUUCAGCAUUCUUUUCCAGAACUCCAACUAAAUCUGCUGCAAAAAUAUGCAGAUCAGCAUCGACUUCUUCCUUUGCUUUGUCAAACCUUGCCCUUAUCAUCCCCAAAACCUCCUGUUGCAAUUGUUAAUAAUUAUGCAAAUACGGAUUUAAGUUGAGCAACAUCUAAAAAAUUAAGCAACAACAGCAAAAGAAAGUUUUACUACCUCCAAGUUAUUUAAGCCUCGAGGCUUCCAAAAUGGAAAAGGUCGUACACCUUUCGAAUUUAAUUCAUGGGAGAAACUUUUGAUAUCCCCAGGAAACCUCUUCCUUGGUGCACUUGUCACGCGAAGUAUAGCUUGAAAGCGGGGAGAUUCCGAUUCUUUUGGGUUAUCACAUUCAUAUGAUGUCUACAUAAUCAUAUCAACGUCAUUUGUACUUAAAUAAUCAAGGUUAAGCCAUUGGUCAACUCAAUAGGAUGAUUGGGAGAAUUACCUUCACGUCUGGAGUAUAAACAUCGGAACUUCUUGGGCCUCCAGAGUGGUCCCAUGAAGAAUUGAAUCGCCCUAUUGACAACUCAGAAAAUUAGAGAAAGAGAGAGAGAUGAUAGAGAGAGAGGGGCUGCAUAGAAUUGUAUUGCCAUUUAUUCAGCAUUGGUAGUCUUUGAUCAUUAACAGGGAAUACUGCAUAGAAUUGUACAGGUAGCAUUUUAGCUCAACUGAAUGUGGUCCAACUACGGUAAAGAGAAUAGUGUUCUAUGUGGAUAUGAUGAGAAAAAGAAUCCAAAAGUUCCACACAUCCAAAGCAGCCAGACUCUGGACAAGGUAAAAAAGAAUUUCAUUGUUCUAUACUAGUGUAACUUCAAAUACAAUAAAACCAGUUCUUAAGCUCAAACCGCUUCAUUUGUUAUAAUACAAUUUAGAUUCUAUUCACCCUCAGAAAUCUAUCAACUCUCUAAAGGUACCUAAAGACUGGUACAUGUAGGUGGUCAAACAAUACAUGGGGUUUCUUCAAUUCACAACUUAAAUGUCACAGGCAAAGCCAUCCUUACAAGCAUAUCAAUAGAACCAAGUGGCAUGCUGAAAGGCUCUAUUACCACCAGAGGCCACUCUAAAUCAAGACUACUGAUAAUCACAUAUUUUCAUGAUUGAUGAAUCAAAAAAAGCCAAUUAACUAAUCUAUGUAAGUAUAUUAUUUUUGUUGCCAUUUGAAAGGGGCAUCAAGAUCAUGCCUGAGAUUAGGAUUACAUGUUUACAACCUACUAAAAAGGAUUUGGUUCUUCAAAGCUGAAUUUAGUUUCAGAGGACCUUGAGGGAAUUUUAAGCCUGGAAACUGUGGCAAAGGGCCAUAAACAUAAGGGUCAUUUGUUACUAAGACCUCAUGUGGAGCUGUUAUAAGAAAACCUACCACCCGUGUAACAUUCGGCCUAUUCUGUGAAAUAAGAUUAUUGCAACUUCGGCCAUGUGGGGACUACCCAACAGCACUGCAUUUAACGCCAUACAAACCAGCCUCUCGUCUACUAAAGUCAUACAAUCUGCUAUUCAGCCAGCGAUUUUUUUUUUUGGGGGUUCUUCAAUUGGGAUUGCGCCUUCACCUAAAUUGUUUAUGGCAAAUGAAUCUUCAACUACUCCUGUAUUGCUGCUCCGAGCUCUGUAUCUCCCUCCCUAAUUUUGCACUAUCUUCUAAUUUUCAGACAUAUCACAUCUAUUAUGUGCCCAAGCAUAUGUUAAAUAUCCUCGAACAACUACACCUAUCAAAUACUAGAUGUAAACCAGAAGGAAUGCAUACAACCUUCAUAAAAGACAUUCCAAAGAAGAGAAAAGUAACUCACAGUGGCCUGAAAAUGUUCGCGUGCCAGCUAACACUCCAUUUAGCAAUUAUAGAUUGAUACUUAUACUUCAAAUUCAUGGUCCCCAUAGGAUAUAAAUCUAACUACAAAAUUCAACUGAUUUUUCUAGUUUAUUUGUACCUGCACGGUCAUCUCAGGGAGUCACCUAUGAUUUAACCCUAUUACCACAGUCUAUUUUUCUGUACACUAAAACUUCUAAAGAAUAUCCCGUGAUCAUUAAACUCCCUGCCAAACUAUUAAAUACACGUCUCAGCCGUAAAUUUGGCUAGCUAGAAUGUCAAACUCCCAAAAAGGAGCAAUCUUGCAGCCAAAAUCUCACGGCAUUCCAUUUCUUAUCAGAGAAUCCUAUAGCAUUUGACGGAUCAACAAUCACAGUGUCCUUAUUCCUUCAAACGUGAUCUCCACAUUUUACAAUGCCACAUUAUGAAAGAGCAGUUCAUAUGUAACUGACAUAAUCAAUUUUAGUUAGAAAAACGUACCAGCUUCAGUGGAGGAAUCUGCAUUCUGUAACCUCGAUGGAGCCUGGACAUGUGGGCUCUGCUCCCUCGAUGGUCCACUCUCAGUCGACAUACUAUCUGAGUUGCUGCCAUUAUCAAUCCAACCAGCAUUUUCUAUAUUUCCAAUCAACUUCUUUUUCUCCUCACCACCACCUCCAUCCUUCUUCACACCACCACUCUUCUUCCCAGACCCCAAACUCGACCCACUAUUUGCCCCACCACCAAUAAACGCCUUCGACAAAUUACUAGCCCCCAAAGCACUCCCCUUUUCCCUCCCACUCCCAAACCCCAAAAAACUCUCCUGAGGCAACGGCCCCGAUCGCGUCUUAAUCUUAUUCAACCCCAACGACGAAGCCACUAUCGGAGACAUCGACACCGCCGCCGCAGCCGAUGGAGUAGGCCCAACUUCUUUCCCAUCUUUCCCCCCUAAUUUCUCAACCCCAAUGCCUUUUUUCGACUUCAAACUACUCGAAAAUCCUGUACUGGGCUUCCCCAACUCCCUAGCCUGACUAGAACUGGAACUUUUCAAAAGGGUUUCCUUCCCUUUCCCAUCUUUCUUACUAAAACCACUAGAACUAGUACUAGUACCGCUACUGACGGGAGAAUUAUCUUUGGAAGAAACACUAGCAGAUUUAACUUUCUUUUUAUCCGAUCGGAUCGGGGAAUUCGAUCCCCACGAUCUCGGACUAUUAGAAGAUCCAUCUGGGCUAGAAGUAUCAGAUUUUUUAGAAGAAAAAAACCUGCCUUUGAAAACCAUCUUUUUUUUUCCCUUUUAUCCUUUCAACUUUAAUUCACAACAGGGUUUCAGGAAGAUGGGUUCGCUUGAAUUUGCAGCCCCAGCAUAGGAACUAUGCAGGGCCGGCGGUUUUGGACUAAGGUAAGAGAGUUGCCAUGAAUGAGGAGUGAUGCAAAGCUGGGCAUAUGUGAGAAAUAAUGGAGAAGGAGUUUCUUUUACUUUCCUUCAGGUAUUAAAAGGACUAAUAAAUUUGGAGAGAGAGAGAAAGAGAGAAAGAAGAGAGACGGUGGGUUUUGAUCUUGGUUGAACGUGUUUGGACCAGACCAGAUGGGGCUUGUGAAAGACAGAGAGAAAGAAGUGGGGUUGAUUCUGUUGAAGGAAGGAGGAAGGAAAAAGACUACGACUGUUGAGGAGAUUGGAUUUUAUACCUGUUGUUUUUUUGAAACUUUGGGACGUUAAUUUAAUUUACUGAGAUUAAUCCAAAUGGAUAAAAAUAGCGAGAAAAAUUAGGGACAUGAUUUCGGUUAUAUUUGCAUUGUAGUUUACUAUCGAAUUUAUUUUUUUUUUAACACAUCUUUCAAUUAUUCAGGUAUAUCAAAUUAUUAUAAUAUAUUUUUUCUACAAAAACUUCUAAAAAAUAGCAAUUCAAAGGAGAUCAAAAUGUUUUUGCAGGCAACGGGGAAUUAAAUUAAACCAAUGUCAAAAAAAAUGUGGCAAGGGCGAAGAAGUGUUUAGAAUUUGGGGGAAAGUAAAUUUGCAAUCUUUCUAUAUUUAGCUUCUAUGAUAUUUGGCUGAACUGCCGCUUCAGAUUUUACAUCCUUGUAAUUAUAUUUUGAAUUACGUCGCCAAAAUAUUUCAUAGGGGAAGAAAAUUAACUUCAAUGAUUUUGAUUUUUCGUGGAUAACCAAAAUAAUAUGGCUAUGCUUUUCAAGGUAAAAGAGAAAGGGAGAAUGAAAGCUUUUGGUAGACAAGUUUUUUGUCAAGUUUGUCUGUUAUAAGUUUUUUAAAAACUUUAGCGAUAGUAAUCUCAAAAAACUUUUAAAAAUUAUUGAAUUAUACACUUCAAAAUAUUAAAAAAAAACACACUUUAAAAUUUUUUAAAAAAACUUCUACAAUAAGCUACAAUAAAAUUUUAGACAAACACCCAAAAAACUCACUUGCCAAACAGGGCUGAAGAUUCAAUAGAAUUCGUUCCAAAAAAAAAAAAGUAGGUUAAGUAGAAGGUUUUUGGUCAAUUUGUCAUGUCGAUGCGUUUUGUGAUCUGAUCCAAUCCUAGUGUUUGAAUUGUAAAACAUUUUAAGAUAGAUAAAUAUACUAAACUUGAUUUUAUGUGAUUUUUAUCAUCAUCAUACAUUAGGUUAACAUCAAGUGAGAUUUUCGAGGUUUGAAGGUCCAUGUUGACACAAGAAACCAUUUUGUAGGAGUUCAGAAGAAUACCAUCGUUUUGUAGAUUAUUGACAAAAUGAAUGGUUGAAUUGCCUAGGAAGGAACAAAAUUUAUCAAGCCCAGCUAAUACUCCUAAUCGUUGGUUUGAUAAAAAGGCAUUUUGGUCUAUGAUCACGUAAUCCCAACUCAUCGUAUUUCGAAUCAAACACAGAAUGACAUUAUUUCCUAUCACAUUUCAUUAACUGUAAAACCAACCAAACACACGAUAAUAAGAUUACUCAUUCAAAUAUGAUUCAAAAUUAGCAGUCCAAAAAUAAGUGAUCCCCUCUCAUCUAAUCCGAGCCAAACUCACCCCAAGUGCUUGUAAAUUGGAAACUAGCAAGAAGUGAGUACUAAAAUUGAUUUAGGUCACGCGCGCAAAGUUCACCAUUUCUUUUCUUCCAUUCAUUCCAAUGUACUUAUUUUACGGCCUACAGGCUACAGCACAACAACUUGCUAGUAGCGUUUCAACCUUUUCAUCAUUUCGAAUCAUUUUUUCGUGCACUAAUUUGCAUGGUAACGGUGUAUCACUUUUAUGUAAAUUGGUCAAAGAGUAGAAGUGUUUCCACCAAUCCGAAAAAAGGCUGUCACGGUCAACAUUUUUGUGCUCCACCAUGGAUUAAUGGACUAUUAUUAAAACAAGCACUGCAAAAGUCAUUCCAAACUUGGCUAAGAUCUUUGGCUGUUCAUUCAUAUACACGUUCAUACAAUUCUAUUCCUGCUGCUGAAAAAAUGUUAUGCUUUUGAUUACUUCAUCCUGCGUGAAGUUCGGAACUUUCCUUUGCGAUCAAACAAUCGUUCUCUAUUCUUUUCUUCUUUCAGUUAAUUUUGUUCCUUUUGGGACGUCUGUACUAUCUUGGUUUUUUCGGCUUCUCUCUCUCUCUCUCUUUAAUAUGAUUUUAAGCGCAAAUUAUAUGUCAAAGGCCCAUUACCGCUCUGACUUGGCCCAGUAGAUUUUUUCCUUUGCAAGGCACAGAAGCAAUGGGGUAACUCUGCUCGUAUUAUUGGGCUUUAGUUUGAGUUGACUUGACUUGCCACUAUCACAAGACCCAAAAACGAAUGGAUAGAAUAGGAGCUACACUCCCCAAAAAAAAAAAAAAAAAAUUAUUAACAGUUUAUUGCAUUAGAAAUGACCGAAUUUGGUUUUAAACUGUCCACUGAAAAGAGUGAAGAUGCUGAACAUUUUGGACUGAUACGUUAUAUGAGAUACAAGCAAAAAAAACCAGGCCCAGACACAUAUGGCCCAAUUGCUCAAAGCUAAAAUUCCUAACUCAACCUUUGGCCAUUGCUUGAUCCAAAAGCAUGGGCCCGUCAUGGAAAAUGAAAAGAGGGCUACAGAAAAUAAAUUGAAAUGGUUUCCCAUUCAAAAAAUUCACAUGCAUGAUCCCGUAAAUUUCCAGAGCUCGUAGUAUAACGCAACAGUACAAAUAAUUCAGUAGUAUAUUCAUUCAUGAAGAGACUCUGAAUCUUCCCACCUCACUUCAUAUUGAACGUUCCCCUAAAGCUCAAAGAAUCUCAAGCUGCUUUUCACAGCGAUUUGCUGAAAUUAAGGGAAAAUGUUCUCUUUCACUGGAGAACAUUUUCCCCAGGGGGGUUGGACCAAGUUGAAUUCUGAUGAUUCUUCCUGUGGAUCGUCUUCUUAGAAAUGAUCAAGAAGUUUGGCUUUGUGGGUUAUGGUGAUAUUUUACAGGCGGAACUUUAGGGUUUAUGGCAAGGCUUCAGUCGACAUGUUGAAGUUGAAGCAAAUUUUACAUCCGGCAAUUCAUCUUGUCGACAAUAUGUUUCAGCAGAUCAUGCUUACUAUAAUCUGGUAUUAAAGAUGCGAGAAUUGCUAAAUCGCAGUUAGGAGUGUGCUCUUUCCCAUUUUUUGAGAGAAGGCAAUUCAGGUGCAGAUGUCUUGGCAAAAUUUUAUCUCAAUCUAUAAUAAUAAUGAGGGAUGAUUUUUCAGACUCGGUGAAAGCAGCUUUGCCUGACGACCUUUUAGGUAGAGCAUAUAGCAGAUAUCUAGCUGUGUAAUUUGGCUUCGGCCUCCAUUGAACCUUUAAAAAGAAAAAGGAAAGAAAUUCCAGGGCUCAUUCUUAUGUUGCAUCAAGUUACAAGUACAAACACUGGCUACGUACGAAUUUUUCAUGGCAAGUUAGAGAGUACAUAGUGGUUAAGUGAACUCGAAAAGUAGGAAAUUCCAAAAUUUAGAUCAUGGCAAGUGACAGUAAUUUAGGUGCUUUAUUUCAUCCUUGUUAUAUAUGGAAAGCAUAAUGCCUUGCUUGGAUUGCUGUUUUCCGUAGAAAAAUUUCGUCAUUUUCCGUGAACACAUUUCCCUAUUACCUUUUUUCCUCACAUACAUCAAAUCGCUACAGUAUUUUUUCCAUGAAAAAUGACGGAAAAUGCAAUCCAAACGGGAAGCAUUUCCUACUAAAUCUUAACAAGACUUUAAUCCGUGCAUAUAUUGCAUAGAGUAACAAUAUUAAUUUAAUGAAUAGACAGCAAAUUUGUUUGACUGUAGGUCGAGAAGUUAAACAUCUUGAUCUAAAAUUAGAUCCUCCCUUGUAUUAUUAGACUAUUAGCUAGUGGUGUAGGUAUUAUCAAUUGACAAAGAAUAUAGAUAAUGUAAUAAAUGUGCAUGAUAUUUGUUUAGGGUAAAAUCUUGAGUGACAAAGAAUAUAGAUAAUUUAAUAAAUGUGCAUGAUAUUUGUUUAGGGCAAAACCUUGAAUAGACUCGGUGUGUAGAUCGAGCGGUUCAAAAUUUGUCACACCAUCUUAUCAACUCAAGCAUUGAAUGCAUAAUAAAUAUGUAGCAAACUUUGAACCACUAGAUCUAGGAGACUAGUUCUACUCAAGUUUUUGUCUUCGUCUGGUUACAUCUCGGAUGUCUGUGUAUCUUAAAAAAUUUAUUUAAUUUGACAAAAUAGCCAUGUUGACUUUUAUUAUUUUGAUUAAAUGGAGAAUAUUUCCUUUACAAGUAACUAAAUAAAUAAUUAAAUUGAAUAUUAAUUACCAAUCUCUGUACAUAUGUAUUAAAAGUUUGAAUAUUUAAUUACUCUGUAUAUAUAUUUACCAAAGUGAGUGCCAUUAUAUUGUUAAGAGUGAAAAUAAUUCAAAUGAAGGGGUAAAAGUUGCUAGAAAGAAGAGAUUGAUUUUGAUUGGUUAAUUGAAAGAAAAUCUGAACGAUAAAUGGGUAAACCCAGUUAACAAAUUGAUCCAUGAAUUCUAUUCAAUUGCCUAUGCCAUAUAAGAGAGAAAAAUGAGUAAAUUGAUAUUUUAUACUGCAUGACAAGUGAAUGAUAAGAGGGUACGGUGUACGUGUCGUGUACAUAUGAUGGAUGGUGUUAAAUUCUCAAUAAUUUAAACCUACCUUACUAGGUGGCUUAAUCUUAUUUGUGCAGAUAUCUGUACAUUAUAUUAACAAUAGCUGGAUACUACAUUUUUCUUAUACGUAAUAAUUGUUUUUCUUUUUCUUAUUAUUACUUUUUUUUGUUUUGGUGCUUGAGGGAGUACGUAACAAUUGUUUAGUACUUUUUUAUUUUUCUGGAUAUCAACCAAAUUACUGCCAACUAUACAGCCACAAGAAGGCAGCAGCCCAAGGUAGCGACACAGCCGACACGUCUUGUUCUCUAGUUGCUUGUGUUUUAAACAACAUUAGCGACAGGAUAGUGGGGUCUGUUUGGUGCCCAAGAAUACUAAUUUCCCGGAUUCAUUUCCAUUUCAAGAGAGGUCGCCAAAACAACAAAGACUAGAGUCGAACCACAUUAUUUAUGGCUUUUGUUUAGUGGGAGUGCAUUGGAUUGUCUUCGAUUGAGGGUGAAAAUGGAGAAAAUUUAAGAGUCGUUCAAUUAUGACUAUAGUUUAUUUGGACCAUUAAUUUUUAAUUUCAUUUUCUUUUUUAACAAAUUAGUUUAAACAAUUUAUUAGUGACAUAUUCAUUUGGGCAUAAUUUGAAUCUUAAAUCGACCUUUACGAUUGCAAGUUCAUAUGUAUUACAACUUAUAGUAAGUGUUUAAAAUUAUCCCGUGACAAUAAAAUUUUUUUUUGGACUAACCCCGUUUCGUCCACUGUCAAUCAAGCAAAACUAAUUUUUUACGUUGCUUUUUUUUUAAGAUUUUUUUUUGACAUUGCUUACCAUUCAAUAUCUUCACUUUUUUGACGGAUUAAAGAGCAGAACACUCCACAGUCCACCCCCUCACCCUCCAAAAAAGGAACUUCCAUCCGUGUAAUUUGUAAUUUUUGUGAUGGAGGCUAUGUUAUAAUUUGACAAUAAUCAGACCCAAGCUAUAAGUAUUAAAUACACACAAAUAUAUAUAUAGAUAUAUAUAUGUAAUUGCAUGGGUGUCAAAUAUAUGUAUAUAUAUAUGUGUGUGUGUAAUUUUUUUUCUGGUCUAGAGGGGUAUUUCGGAAUCACCCAAACUAAUCCCUCAGGUUGGGCAGAGUUCGUCCUAAAGAUACCCAACAAUGAUAGCAAGUGGAGGUCGAACUUGGAACCUUGUGUGUGUAAUUGCAUGGGUGUCAAAUGUGCAUAAUUGAAUGUAAGAGCCACGCAUUCUAACACUUGAAGUACACAGGUGUACAAUUAAAACCCUUUGAGAUUGACGUUAUACAUAUCCUUUUGCUACUGUUCUCCAGAAGGGCAUUGUGGUGGCUGAAGACUCUCUUUUUUUUUUGCCAAAACGAUAACAGAGGCUGAAACUCAAUUGAUUGCAAGAUGUUAUGGAAUUUCAUUGAACGGGUGGGGCAAUGACACGUUUGUUAAUAUAAUAUAUUGCUGUGGACAGAACAAGAUCCAAAAUUUGGAAUGUUUCAAUCAUUCAAUUUUGUUGCUUAUAGAUGCAUUAAUAUUCAAAGAAGAUAAUUUCGUUCUCUCCCUGUACUCGAUGUGCAUCACUAAUUCUAUUUGAAAAAAAAAAGAAGUAACUCAUUAAUUAAAUGUUAAUGGUGGAUGAAAGAAGCCAAAUUUGGGCUAAUAGUUGGUAUUAAGCAAAACCCAUGCUUCUAUCCAUGAGGACUUCGACUAUUAUUACCAAACAUGAAGAACAGCAAUAUGGACAUUAACAAGUCUUUCCGCCUUCCAGCUAUUAAGCAUAAUUACUCUUACUGAUCCUGAUGUAGACUUGUGGAGGACUAUUACGAGUACAAAUGUUAAAGAAGCUUGCGAUUACUCUCUCAUUUAAUUUGAUGACAUGCGUCAACACGUUCAUAGAAGCAUAAGGCUGGUGGUUCACUACCAAUGCAUUAAGGCAAAGCUUACCUUCCACCAAUUUGCUACAAUUAAAUGUGGCAUUGUUUGAAAAAUUCAGGUCUGGUCCGGUAGUGGUUCAGUCUCCUCCCUAUAGGAAGCUAUCGUAUCGACAAAGACCUUCCCCUUCCCAUAGUGUAAGAAACUAUCGUAUCGACAAAAAAAAAAAAAAAAACAAACAAACAAAAGUACUCUAAACACUACAUCCAUUUACUCGAUCUUGUUUUAGUACAAUUAGUAUUCAUUUGCAGUAAGAAUCAUAAAUUGAAAUUGCAAAUAGUUUUUUUUUUUUUUUUAACGAUACAAGACGCUUAGAAGUGCUGGUUAUCAUGUUUCUCAUUUAUAUAACAAAAAAUGCUUCUUAUCAGCACAUCUUACUGCCUAAAACUCUGUUUUGUACUCCCGUGCUAUAACUAGCAUUGAUCUACUUCUAGUCCGAAUUACACAUAUGGAGUUACAAAUUCGUACGUUGGUUUGGAAAACCAAUGUUUAAGGUCAAUGCAAAAUUUGAAGUCUUAAAACUAUUCCCCCUCCUUAAGACCGAGUUUAGCCCAUUUUACCAAAUACACGAAUGACACAUGAUUUAAUUAUUAUUUUUUUAAGGAAAAUCGUUCAAAAUGUCCCUUACAUUUUGCAAAAUAACUUUUUUCAUCCCUCACAUUUAAAAAUGUAAUUUUACAUCCCUUACAAAUUCACAUUGAUCAAAUUUGGUCCCUACUCAAGUUUCCGACUAGUUUUUGGCCGAAAUCCAUCACGUGCAAGGCACGUGAUUAUUUUUUAAGGGCAAAUUUGUCAAAUCAAUUUUAUAUAAUUCGAUUCAUAAUCCCUCAUAUUUUAUAAAAUAAUUUUUUUUGUCCCUUACACAUCACAAAAUAAAUUUUUUUAUUCUUCACAUUUUUCAAAAUAGAUAUUUUCAUCCCUCAUUGAUCAUGUGUACGAGUAAUUUUUUUAAACCCAUGUAAAUAUCUAUUUGAUUUCACUUAAACAGUACGAAUAACAUGUAAUAUAUCUCUAUUUGAUUUCUCUAUUUAAUUUUGUCUAACGAAAUUAAAUAGAGAUAUGUUACAUGCUAUUCGUACUGUUCAAGUAAAAUCAAAUAGAUAUAUACAUGGGUUUAAAAAAAUUAUUAGUUUUUCACUCAUAUUUAUUUCGUUUUACUCAAAAAUUAAAAACAAAGAAAAAACUUAAUCUUAAACAUUAUCGAGUGUUUAUAUCGAAUUAAAUUUGGGUAGAAAAAAUAAACAAAGAAAAAGUAUGACAAAAAGAAGUAAGUGAUUGACACUUUCAAAUUUUAAAACAAUCACAAGACAAAUAAUUCAACUGUUGGUCUUAAAAGUGGCGAGUAGAAAUUUCAGAUUUAAACUGCAAUUUGUUAGCAUGACUAUAAAAUUUAAUUUAAGACCUAUUAAUUAGAUGGCCUUAUUAUACAUCUCAAUAAAUAAAUUAUUAUCAAAAAAAAAGACCACAAAUAUUGAAUAGGUUUACAUGUUAAAAUCAUCUAGAUAUUACAUGGGUUUAAAACAAAAUUGUUAAUUUUAAAUCUCUGUAUAUAUCUAUUGAAUAGCAUAUAUACAUCUACGAUUAGUCUGUUUGAAUAAAAUCAAAUAGAAAUAUAUUAUAUGUUAUUCGUACUGUUCAAAUGGAAUCAAAUUGAUAUAUAUAUUGAUUUAAAGAAAAAAAAUUAUUCGUACAUAUGAUCAAUGGGUGAUGAAAAAAUUCAUUUUGAAAAAUGUGAGGGAAUUCAUUUUAUGAAAUGUGAGGGACGAAACAAUUCAUUUCGUGAAAUGUUAGGGACGAAAACAUUUAUUUUAUGAAAUGUGAGGAAUUAUGAAUCGGAUUAUGUAGAAUUUAAUUUGACAAUUUUACCCUAUAACUAAUUGGAAACCUAGGUAGGGAUCAAAUUUGAUCAAUGUGAAUUUGUAAGGGACAUAAAAUUACACUUUUAAAAGUGAGGGACGAAAAAAGUCAUCUUGCAAAAUGUGAGGGAUGUUUUAAACGAUUUUCCCUUUUUUUUAUUUCCAAUUAGAUCUGUCUUAGGGUUGUUGAAUUUGAACCUAGUGAGAUCUCAUCACAAGGUUAAUCUUUCAUGAAGAUUUACACGCUUCAUCAUACUUGUUGUAGAAUGUAAAAUGAUGUGUUAGUAUCACCUUUUUUUUUAUAUCUUAAUAUAUGACUUUUUAGGUAAAAAACUUCGAUUAUUCAAUUAGUUUACCGACAUUCGAGCCGAUAUAGUAAGACUUUUUGGUUGGCCACUGGGAAGAGUUUUAAACUUUUCAUGAGUGUAGGCCAAUGAAUCAAAUCGCUUAACUUGCAUUCUAAAAAAUUCAAAAUUUUUUGAAAAAAUUUCAGACACCCGUUUGAAUUGGUAGUGAUUCACUCUAUAGAAUAUGUCCUUGCACACAAUAUUACCGUAUCAAAACUUUCAGAAUUUAUCCUUUCACACAAUAUUACCAUAUCAAAACUUGCAGAUAUGAAAGUAAACAAGAUAACUAAAAUGUAUUGCAUUAAAAAAAACAUCAAUUUCGGAAAGAAAACUGAUGCUAGUUGCUAGUAGAAGUGUAAUACCCAUGCAUAAGAUCUCAUUGAAGAAAUGGACAGUAGCACUACUUAAAAAACAACCAAAAAAAAAAACAAAUUCUAACGCGUCUUUGGUCCUUUCAGGUUUCGAAGACUUUAUGACUGUUGGCACGAUUGCCAACUUUGCGUUGA